CAGCGCCUCAAGUGGCAGCCGCGUUUAUUGGGCCUAAAGCGUUCGUAGCCGGUUAGGAAGAUCUUUUGUGAAAUCGUCAAGCUCAACUUGACACCGUGCAGAAGACACUACUUAACUAGGAACCGGGAGGAGUCAGAAGUAUUCCGGGGGGAGCGGUAAAAUGUUAUAAUCCUCGGAGGACUACCUGUGGCGAAGGCGUCUGACCAGAACGGAUUCGACGGUGAGGAACGAAAGCUAGGGGAGCAAAACGGAUUAGAGACCCGAGUAGUCC
rnacentral:rRNA from 1 species